rnacentral:rRNA from 1 species
UACGGAGGGUGCGAGCGUUGUCCGGAAUCACUGGGCGUAAAGCGUGCGCAGGCGGUUUGCUAAGACAGGUGUGAAAUCCCCGGGCUUAACCUGGGAACUGCGCUUGUUACUGGCAGGCUUGAGUGUGGCAGAGGGGGGUGGAAUUCCACGUGUAGCAGUGAAAUGCGUAGAGAUGUGGAGGAACACCGAUGGCGAAGGCAGCCCCCUGGGCUAACACUGACGCUCAUGCACGAAAGCGUGGGGAGCAAACAGG